rnacentral:tRNA from 1 species
GGUUCAGUGGUCUAAUGGUUAUGAUUUCUGUCUCACAUUUGUGAACUGAUCACAGAAGGUUCCCGGUUCGAUCCCGGGCUGAACCA